GUGCUGAUGAAACUUGGGACUCUGCAAUUGACACAUGGAGCCCAUCAGAAUGGCAAAUGGCUUAUGAACCACAGGGUGGUUCUGGAUAUGAUUAUUCUUAUGCAGGGGGCCGUGGCUCGUAUGGUGAUCUUGGCGGACCUAUUAUCACUACACAAGUAACUAUUCCCAAAGAUUUGGCUGGAUCUAUUAUUGGCAAAGGUGGUCAGCGGAUUAAACAAAUUCGUCAUGAGUCUGGAGCAUCUAUCAAAAUUGAUGAACCUUUAGAAGGAUCUGAAGAUCGGAUCAUUACCAUUACGGGAACACAGGACCAGAUACAGAACGCACAGUAUUUGCUGCAGAACAGGUCAGUUGAUGCUUAGCUUUGUGUUCAUGUAUACGUACUAAAACCUUUAAAAGCUUUUCUUCCCAAUUGAUUUUUCUUUUAGAAACCAUGGUGUUUCCGUCACUUGGGGAUCUAACUUCUAAAUAUUCUAAUUAAUAGCUCUGCCUUAAUUUUCUUCUGUUUUCUUACUAAAAUGAAGACAUUCAAUACUAAUCUUGCUGGAAGAAGCCUUAACCAAGCAAACUUCUCAUUUCUCUGGUGAAAACUGCUGCCAAAACCACCACUUGUAAUAAAUUAUACAGAGCCUGUAGAAAAUGUAGAAGAGUCAUUGGAUGUUGGCCUAGUUCUGUGUGGAAGACUAGUGAUUUUGUUGUUUUUAGAUAACUAAGACGACAACAAAUCACAGUCUGCCAUAUGGCACAGGCCACCUCUACAGGACAGACAAUGAUGGUGCUGUAAAACGCAGCAUUUCACACCUUCCUCAUGCUCCUUUGUCUUUUCUACCAAGUAUUAACAGCUUCCAGAUUCAUUUUCUUAACCCUGCA
rnacentral:lncRNA from 1 species